CCUACGGGUGGCAGCAGUAGGGAAUAUUGCUCAAUGGGGGAAACCCUGAAGCAGCAACGCCGCGUGGAGGAUGAAGGUUUUCGGAUUGUAAACUCCUUUUGUUAGAGGAGAUAAUGACGGUAUCUAACGAAUAAGCAACGGCUAACUCCGUGCCAGCAGCCGCGGUAAUACGGAGGGUGCAAGCGUUACUCGGAAUCACUGGGCGUAAAGAGGGCGUAGGCGGGAUAGCAAGUCAGUUGUGAAAUCCUAUGGCUUAACCAUAGAACUGCAUUUGAAACUGUUAUUCUAGAGUAUGGGAGAGGUAGGUGGAAUUCUUGGUGUAGGGGUAAAAUCCGUAGAGAUCAAGAGGAAUACUCAUUGCGAAGGCGACCUGCUAGAACAUAACUGACGCUGAUGCGCGAAAGCGUGGGGAGCAAACAGGAUUAGAUACCCCUGUAGUC
rnacentral:rRNA from 1 species